rnacentral:rRNA from 1 species
UUUAACUGAGCGUUCAGUUACUUGACGUAGACCCGAAACCGGGCGACCUACCCAUGAGCAGGAUGAAGCGAAAGUAAAAUUUCGUGGAGGUCCGAACCCACGAGCGUUGAAAAGCUCGGGGAUGACUUGUGGGUAGCGGUGAAAUUCCAAUCGAGCCCGGAGAUAGCUGGUUCUCCCCGAAAUAGCUUUAGGGCUAGCCUCAAGGUGAGAGAUACGGAGGUAGAGCACUGAAUGUCCUAGGGGGUAUUGCACCUACCGAAGACUAUCAAACUCCGAAUGCCGUCAUCUUAUACUUGGGAGUCAGACUGUGGGUGAUAAGAUUCAUAGUCGAAAGGGCAACAGCCCAGAUCGUCAGCUAAGGUCCCUAAAUGUAAGUUAAGUGGUAAAGGAUGUGGGAUUGCACAGACAACCAGGAUGUUGGCUUAGAAGCAGCCACUCAUUCAAAGAGUGCGUAAUAGCUCACUGGUCGAGUGAUCCUGCGCCGAAGAUUUCCGGGGCUAAAACUUACUACCGAAGCUACGGCAUCAGUAAUGAUGGGUAGGGGAGCUUCCCAUACGGGUUGAAGCAUGACCGUAAGGACAUGUGGACAGUAUGGGAGUGAGAAUGUUGGC